rnacentral:rRNA from 1 species
CCUACGGGAGGCAGCAGUAGGGAAUCUUGCACAAUGGACGAAAGCCUGAUGGAGCAACGCCGCGUGAGGGAAGAAGGGUUUCGGGGCGGAAAGCCCUGUUGGUAGGGAAGAAAGAUAGAGGUAGUAACUGGCCUUUAGUUGACGGUAAUUACUUAGAAAGGCACGGCUAACUACGUGCCAGCAGGCGCGGGAAUACGUAGGUGGCAAGCGGUGUCCGGAUUUGUUGGGCGUAAAGCGAGUGCAGGCGGUACAAUAAGUCUGAUGUGAAAGCCUUCGGCUCAAACGGAGAAGUGCAUCAGAAACUGUGGAACUUGAGUGCAGAAGAGGAACGUGGAACGCCAUGUGUAGCGGUGAAAUGCGUAGAUAUCUGGCAGAACACCAGUUGCGAAGGCGGCGCUCUGGUCUCCAACUGACGCUGAGGCUCGAAAGCGUGGGUAGCGAACAGGAUUAGAUACCCGUGUAGUC